CCGAGUGCCACUCACGGCAGAAACCCUUUUACCGAGCCACCGGCGGGGCGGGGUCCUGGCUGCGGGGACCACACCUUUAGCCCAGGGUAGCGAGGGCCAUGACUCCGAGCGAGAGGUGGGACUCUCAGACCAGUGGGGAGCUGAGGCUUUGGCUCAAGAGGCUUCGGCAAGAAGAGGCUAAGGUCACUCUCGGUCAGCGUGAGGAAUAUUCGCAGAUCCACGUCCUGCUCCUCAAGGAUGUGAAGAUACUUCAGACAACCGAUCUGCUCCAGAAACUCCGGCAAAUCCUGUCAAACAAAAUCCCGGGAAAUGACUGAUGUGAGAGAGCGGGACCAGGCCACUCUGCCCAUCGAGUCUGCUGCGCAGACGAGGGACAGGAAGGCUGAGUUUUCCGGUGUCAUUGAGGAGUCAAGUGGAGCUGGAGCAGGAAGUGUCCUUGUUUUUCCUGAGACACAACAGGAGCACGUUCAACGCCCCUUAACUCGUGGCUGUGACUGACUGACCGAGCGUCUCCAACCUGAAACGUUAACGUUUCUCUCUCCACAGAUGCUGCCCGACCUGCUGAGUGUCUACAGCAAUUUCUGUUUUUAAAGCACAGUGCAGGACGUGGCAAAGCCAGCAGUCUAGGAAGAUCCCAGCGUCAA